UGAGGAUUGGGUAAGUGUACUGGGGAGGUCUUUUGAAAGGGCAUGUAUUUUGGAAAUAAAGAUUGGUUCUUUUUCGUCUAGUAGUGCAAUUUCAGACUCUAGUACAGAUGUUAAAUUGCAGGGUAAAGAUGGAGAAACAUUAACAGACCUUUCUGGGAGUUCAGGGAAGAUGCAUAGUGAUGAUGCUAGUAAUGAUGUAAAUUUGGGUGAUUCUUUCUGUACUCUUGUCUCAGCAUUGAGGAGUUGGUCCGGUUUUGAUGUUGAAGAAGCUGAAUUGGUCAAUUUUGAUACAACAGCACUAGUUGCUAUAGUGUCUGGGAUUAGUAAUGGUAGUAUCGAUCGAAUUCUG
rnacentral:misc_RNA from 1 species